UACAGAGGGUGCGAGCGUUAAUCGGAAUUACUGGGCGUAAAGCGUGCGUAGACGGUAGCGUAAGUCAGAUGUGAAAGCCCCGGGCUCAACCUGGGAACUGCAUUUGAGACUGCUCUGCUCGGGUGCGGAAGAGGGAAGCGGAAUUUCCGGUGUAGCGGUGAAAUGCGUAGAUAUCGGAAGGAACACUAGUGGCGAAAGCGGCUUCCUGGUCCGACACCGACGUUCAGGCACGAAAGCGUGGGGAGCAAACAGG
rnacentral:rRNA from 1 species